AUCGCUUCUCGGCCUUUUGGCUAAGAUCAAGUGUAGAUUCCUUCAGGGACUAGAUCAGUGGUCGCCAAACUCAUUAGUCAACAGAGCCAAAUAUCAACAGUACAACAAUUGAAAUUUCUUUUGAGAGCCAAAUUUUUUAAACUUAAACUAUAUAGGUAGGUACAUUGUUAUUAACUUAAUUAGGGUACUCCUA
rfam:Myotis lucifugus cont2.26329, whole genome shotgun sequence.